ACAACUCUUAGCGGUGGAUCACUCGGCUCGUGCGUC
rnacentral:rRNA from 3 species